CAUCAGGAGGUUUCAGAUGUCUCUGCAGUUGCGCAGAAGAGGUGGAGUCUGAAUGAUUUCGACAUUGGAAAGCCCCUUGGAAGUGGCAAGUUUUGUCACGUUCAUCUUGCUUGAGAGAAGCGGAGCAACCACAUUGUCGCCUUAAAGGUUCUAUUCAAGACUCAGUUUCAACAAUCUCAAGUUGAGCAUCAGUUAAGAAAAGAAUGUCUUACUUAUUUUUUGAUCGAAUGUCUUACUUACUUUAAAUGAUAGAAAAGAAUGUCUUACUUACAUACAUAAGAUAUUUUAAUAUUUUUUGAGUCUCA